GUUACAUACUUUGCGACGAAUCUAGUACUCUACAAGUAACGGGUAUAAAAAUUGUAUAUAACGGAGUAGAAGAGAAUACUAUUAAAAAUAGCAAAGCCAUAAUUAUUUCCCUAUUAUUUUCCCAUUAACUAUCCUAUCGUUUUUACGGCAACUAUAUAUACAUAGCUACAUACAUAUAUUGUCGUCCGAUUUUUUUUACAAAUUUAAUUCGAAAUUCUAAACUAUUCAAAAAAUAUAUUUCUAGAAGUAGAAGUUAAUAUGUCAAAAAAUUACUCCUAUAGGAGCUAUAGUUAUAGAUAUAUACUUAUGUAUACAUAUGUAGAUAUAAUUGUCCGUCCCGGUUCGUUCCGACUUAUGCAUUACCUGCAAUAGAAACAAGACUUAUAGGAAGAUUUAAGCCCUAUACCCUUAAAACUUAGAUACUACUGCAUAGCACUGUACAGUGUGUAAUUGUAAGUUUGAAUAGAUUCAUGCAGUAAGGUACAGACUUUAUCGCACACUGGGAAUCGCUGGCGAAUGAACUUAAUUUCCAAAUCCCAACUACAUUUUUGAAAGAGUAUGCAACUAUGCAGACAGGAAUCAAUUUCUAGAAAGAGCCUGCAUAGAGUAAGAAUCUAUAUAGACACACCAUUUGUUCUGCCUGAACCUCUGCUGAGCCAAUGCAACCUCAAGUUCGAAGCUAACUUCGAUUUCUCAACUCACUCAACAUGUGCGGAGCAACAGCAAUAGUGGUGAUACAAAAACAAACAGUGAGUGAGAGCGAUGUACAUCCCUGCAAGCAAAAGGGGAUAUUUCUAUCGCAUGUCGUCCAGGAGUCACUUCUUAGUAACUUCUGCGCGAUAGAAAGACGAUAGUACACAUUUUACAAAAACAAAAUAUACACGUGUCGCGUAGAAGUAACUUCUAAGUCACUUCUUGACGAUAGAAAGACGAUAGUACACAUUUUACAAAAACAAAAAGGGUCGCGAUCGCGAAGAAUUAACUUCUGAGACACUUCUGCGCGAUAAAACGGCGGUUGAACACAUUUUACAAAAACAAAAGAAAUGGAAAAAAACAAGCCAAAAAAAAAUUUUUUGGUCUUCCUUUUGACCUACGCUAUUAUUUUUCGCCCGAGCGUCAUUUCGUUGCGCGAUUUUUCUGUGUACAGUGGGGUUUUGUAUCAAUUUUGUGAGUUUAAAAAUAUUGAUUUGUUUUUCUAAAUGUUAUUGAUUGCUUAACAUAUUUAAAUAUCCCCCUCAACAAAGGGUGUGAAAUUACGUGCUUAUCGUGAGCUGUACGAUUAUUUAAAGCUAUUUACGGACAAGCUAGCUGUGGACAUUACUUGGCGUGUAACUGCGGAUCCAACGAUUCUCAACAUACUUCAUUGUAAAAGAAAUGGUUAUUAAUAAAUUUCAUAUGUCGACGGAGCUGCACCUAAAUAACAUUGAUCAGCAAAAUUUCCUACAUGCCAGUGACCGUGUAUACAAGCGGACAAAGCCCUUAUACACAAAAUAAAUGCAAAAUAUUGAAAGUAUAA